rnacentral:rRNA from 1 species
AGGGAUCAUUAGUGAGUGGGUUUUUACCUGAUUCCAACCCUUUGUGAACCAACUUGUUGCUUCGGGGGCGACCCUGCCGUUCGCGGCCGCGGCGCCCCCGGAGGCCAUCAAACACUGCAUUUUUACGUCGGAGUCUCAAGUAAAUUGAACAAAACUUUCAACAACGGAUCUCUUGGUACUGGCAUCGAUGAAGAACGCAGCGAAAUGCGAUAAGUAAUGUGAAUUGCAGAAUUCAGUGAAUCAUCGAAUCUUUGAACGCACAUUGCGCCCCCUGGUAUUCCGGGGGGCAUGCCUGUUCGAGCGUCAUUUCACCAGUCAAGCCUGGCUUGGUAUUGGGCGUCGCGGGUCUCCGCGCGCCUUGAAGUAUCCGGCUGAGCUGUCUUGAACCCUAGCGUUGUGAAUCAUAUUCGCUAAAGGUGAGGACGGCCGCGGCCGUUAAAUCUCUCAAAGGUUGACCUCGGAUCAGGUAGGGAUACCCGCUGAACUUAA